rnacentral:rRNA from 1 species
AUUGAACGCUGGCGGCAGGCCUAACACAUGCCAGUCGAGCGGAUGAAGGGAGCUUGCUCCUGGAUUCAGCGGCGGACGGGUGAGUAAUGCCUAGGAAUCUGCCUGGUAGUGGGGGAUAACGUCCGGAAACGGGCGCUAAUACCGCAUACGUCCUGAGGGAGAAAGUGGGGGAUCUUCGGACCUCACGCUAUCAGAUGAGCCUAGGUGGGAUUAGCUAGUUGGUGGGGUAAGGGCCUACCAAGGCGACGAUCCGUAUCUGGGCUGAGAGGAUGAUCAGUCACACUGGAACUGGGACACGGUCCAGGCUCCUACGGGAGGGAGCAGUGGGGAAUAUUAGACAAUGGGCGGAAGCCUGAUCCAGCCAUGCCGCGUGUGUGAAGAAAGUCUUCGGAUUGUAAAGCACUUUAAGUUGGGAGGAAGGGCAGUAAGUUAAUACCUUGCUGUUUUGACGUUACCAACAGAAUAAGCACCGGCUAACUUCGUG